AUUUUCAUGAAACUGAGGGGUACCAGGUAUAUUUCCAAACGUGCGAGGGUAUUGCGUGAAUUUCCUGAAAACUCGGGAGUACUUAGUGAAAAAAUCAUAGAUUUUAUAUGAUAUAAUUGUCUUUCUAUAGUUAGUUUUUAUAUGAUAUAGUCUUUUUUUAUUAAUUGGUUAUCAUCAUACAUAUACUUGGGUUUACAAUAAAUUAUUCUAAAUUUGGUCCACCCAAGAUUUACCACCCUAUGUUUAUUAUUUAGUGUAACACCCCGUAUUUUUAUACCCGUUCAAUAAUUAUCUGUAUUAAUUUAUUUAAUGAAAAUGAUUUCAGAUUUCUUUUAUUAAAAAUACUUUUUUACUAGCUUUGACUUUACCUUUAAAGUGGUUAAAAAAAACUGAUUCCUAAAUUUUCUAGGUUAAAACCUAGCUAACCUUAUUAUAAAGAUAGAGUAAGAAAAGAAAACAAACAAAAAAAAAAAAAGAAAGAAAGGAGCUUUCACGUUUCCCGGCCAACCAAAACUAAACAAAAAAAAAAAAAAAAAACAAAGCUUUCCUCACAGUUCUAUCAUCUUCAUCUCCAUUUAUUUUCCCCUUAUUUUUGACUCAAUACCCUAAAUUCACGAAUUUUGUUCAACUUUCUUCACAAUUCAACCUUUCUUCAUCUAUCUUUUACAAUACUUAGAUAUUGAGAGUAUUUCAAAGAGGGAAAAUUUGGGUUUUACUUUGGACGAUUUUGGGACAAACUUCGGAUCGAAAGUGCGAAUUUUGGGUCUCUUAUUGUGUAAUUUUAUCUUCCCUUAAUCAAAUUGCGGGUUCGUAGAGGAACCUUUUUGACUUGAUAUUGAGAUUUGCUAACUUUGAUUGCUGAUAAGGGACUUGAAGAUAGUUAGCUCCAGUUGGGUUAAAGAGUGCGUUGGAUCCCUUUUGAUUUAAUAGGACUUUAAAAAGACUUCCGCUCUUAUUUAUUUAUAAGAUUUAUAUUCUGGUUUGUAAUAAUUAUUUUACAGUCUAUUUAGUUGGUCUGUAAUAAUUAGUUAAAACUUAUUGGUUAUUGUUUUAGUUAGAACCAUUAGCCUUGCAAUUAUUAUUAAUAAUUAUCGCGGCGUAGCACCUUCGGAUUUCCGAGUUUAUUUUUAUUAAGUUGAUUUUAGAAGUAUUGAAAAUUCAGGGUUGUUACAUUUAGUAC